AGGUGGACGAGCCCGCUCAUAACCCGGUCUGGUACCGGGUGUGGGGCGGCUAUCUGCACCGGUCGCACUUGCAGCGGGUGAAAUUCCUCUUUAAUCAGACGUUACCAGCCCUUG
rnacentral:misc_RNA from 1 species